AUGUAUGUGUAUUAUUCUAUGUAACAAUACGACUAUUUACAAUCAAGAUUUAUAUGCAUAUGUAAAGACGUGUGGGCUUCAGUGGCAAAAACAAACCAAAUCUAGUUGCAUUCAUGGCGGAAUAAACGCGCAUGUGCAACACAUGAAACGAGACAUUUAUGUGUGUGUAUGUACGCCUGUUCAUUAAGCAGCAAAAAAGCCACGACCUACAAGCUCCUUAGCGAAUGUGCAAAUAAAUGCAACUACCGUUACCACUGCCACUGUCAGGCAACAAAACAGCCAAAUUUGCUGGUGCAACAAAGGCAAUCAGCCGGAACACAUAGCCUGCAACAUUCGCCUACUGACAGUGUUGUUGCCGCUCGCUUACACACUCGUACUUUUCGUUUAAGAUCAACGUUGCAUUUCGAUUCUGCGUUCAAUUGCGUUCUAAGCUUCGGCGAGUAAACAACCUGAGCGGUUUAACAGCGAAUAACGCGUCGCGGCGUUUAGUAAAACGACAUAAUUACAACAACAACAGCAAUAUUGAUAUUUAACACACUUUUCAGUUCAAAUAAAAAUAAAUCCAAAGUGUUCAAUUAUGGUUUUGCUGCGAGUUAUCAAGUAUCUUGUGGGCUGUGUGGUGCGGCUGUGCGAGGGUCUGAACCAGAGCGUUCUGUCUUGGAAAAUGCUGAAAUAUCGCAUGUUGCAACAGAGUUGACUAGGAGGCGUGCGUGGCUGGAGUAAGCGUAAUCUAGUUUGUGUUGCCUUUGUUGGCGAUGAUGAGCUGUUGAAUAUCUUCGAAAAUUUAUAGACGCUGAAGUUACUUCAAGUUCGUUACUUGAGUCUUUUGUAUGAAAAAGUUCAUUAUGCAAAGUGUGUUGGAAAUAAAAUUUACUUUUCAAUUUUCUUUGUUUUAUAUAAAGAGGCGUUAGUAAUAAGUGUGUGGAUAUCUUUUUUUAAUAAAUUCAAUGUUUUUAUGGUU